AAGUCGAGCGAAUGAGAAGAGCUUGCUCUUCGAUUCAGCGGCGGACGGGUGAGUAAUGCCUAGGAAUCUGCCUGGUAGUGGGGGACAACGUUUCGAAAGGAACGCUAAUACCGCAUACGUCCUACGGGAGAAAGCAGGGGACCUUCGGGCCUUGCGCUAUCAGAUGAGCCUAGGUCGGAUUAGCUAGUUGGUGAGGUAAUGGCUCACCAAGGCGACGAUCCGUAACUGGUCUGAGAGGAUGAUCAGUCACACUGGAACUGAGACACGGUCCAGACUCCUACGGGAGGCAGCAGUGGGGAAUAUUGGACAAUGGGCGAAAGCCUGAUCCAGCCAUGCCGCGUGUGUGAAGAAGGUCUUCGGAUUGUAAAGCACUUUAAGUUGGGAGGAAGGGCAUUAACCUAAUACGUUAGUGUUUUGACGUUACCGACAGAAUAAGCACCGGCUAACUCUGUGCCAGCAGCCGCGGUAAUACAGAGGGUGCAAGCGUUAAUCGGAAUUACUGGGCGUAAAGCGCGCGUAGGUGGUUUGUUAAGUUGGAUGUGAAAGCCCCGGGCUCAACCUGGGAACUGCAUCCAAAACUGGCAAGCUAGAGUAUGGUAGAGGGUGGUGGAAUUUCCUGUGUAGCGGUGAAAUGCGUAGAUAUAGGAAGGAACACCAGUGGCGAAGGCGACCACCUGGACUGAUACUGACACUGAGGUGCGAAAGCGUGGGGAGCAAA
rnacentral:rRNA from 1 species